AUAUCUAUACUUUUAAGUGCUGCUGAGGUCAAAGGUUAUUAUGAAUUUGGUUUUAUCAAACCUCCUUUCAGUUGAUGACUAGUAGCACUUAACCAUGAUGAGAUACUUUUGGUAGUCUUUAGCAACAUUGUAAUACAACUUGCAAGUUAGCUUAUGCAAAUGCUGGUUUCUUAGAUAAUAUUAAUAACUAUGUUAUUCGCACUCAAAUAUAAAUGUCAGAUAUCGAUCUAUGUAUGAUACAGGUUCAGUAUGUUCAAUAUUCUUAAACUUUUUCUAUGUAUUUAGAAUAUCAUGAAUAUAAUGAUAUUAGCUAACAUAUUGGAGCCUGCAGCAUUUUGGACUCAGUUUUUAAUGUGGUAGACAUAGCUAGUAUAUUUCAUCUGAUAUUUAUGUAUAUAAAUAGGGCAAUUGAUUUUAUUCAAAUGACUUGCAGGACGAGUGAAAGUAUUCACUAUUUGUUCCACUCUUGUGAAGAAGUAUUGAACAAAUUGAUUACAUCGUCAGUUUAUGCAUAAAAAUUGAUUGGAUUGUGUAUCGGUUGAUGUCUUGAACUGGGUUCUCAAAAGUAUGUGAAAAUGCUUAUGACUAUGUUGAAAAAAGCGUGGCGCAGGUAAAUGUAAGUGGAUUUAUUCGAUGGGGACAAUGAUGUUUGCUCCUUCAAAGAUGCAUGAACUCAGCUGAAUUUAGUUUGUGUAUACGUCAGUUUUUCAACUUUUUAACCUAUGGGGUUAAGGUGGGAUGGUGGGGUCGGUCUGUAUUCCCCCAAGUUAGGGUAUUGAAUGAUGAUGGGUGAGACAGAGGAACUCCGCUGUUGAGCAUUUAGCAAUGAAAGCGUGUCUUUUCUGUAUGUGUUUUUUUUAGCUGUUAGUAUUGCGGCGUGAUGGGGAUGGUUCUAACUCUUUAGCUUGGUACAUUGUAUGUUACUUCAUUUGUCUUUGUGGUGAAGGACUGAUGGAUGUUCUAGUUCGAGGUUGAGUAUUAGUAUAGGAUGACCUGACUAGAUCUGCGCAGCCAAAAAUCAUUAUGUUUUAAAUACAACAGCAAACAAAUAUACGAA